CGAACGCUGGCGGCGUGCCUAAUACAUGCAAGUCGAGCGGACUGAUUAAGAGCUUGCUCUUAUGACGUUAGCGGCGGACGGGUGAGUAACACGUGGGCAACCUGCCCUGUAGAUCGGGAUAACACCGAGAAAUCGGUGCUAAUACCGGGUAAUAUCUGAGAUCACAUGAUCUUAGGUUAAAAGAUGGCUCCGGCUAUCACUACAGGAUGGGCCCGCGGCGCAUUAGCUAGUUGGUAAGGUAAUGGCUUACCAAGGCGACGAUGCGUAGCCGACCUGAGAGGGUGAUCGGCCACACUGGGACUGAGACACGGCCCAGACUCCUACGGGAGGCAGCAGUAGGGAAUCUUCCGCAAUGGACGAAAGUCUGACGGAGCAACGCCGCGUGAGUGAUGAAGGGUUUCGGCUCGUAAAGCUCUGUUGUUAGGGAAGAAACAGUACCGAACGAACUAGGUCGGUACCUUGACGGUACCUAACCAGAAAGCCACGGCUAACUACGUG
rnacentral:rRNA from 1 species